rnacentral:lncRNA from 1 species
UGGUUUAAACGUCACCCAAAUUUUAACAUCACGCCAACCCACUUUGCCAUGUUACCCAACCUCAAUGGCCCAUCAUAUUUUCCAGUAUUUUACAGAAGUGCAGCCAUUGGUAGAAAACAUUAAAAAAUGCUCAAAUCUUGAAGAUUGGUAGGCCUCGAUAGUUCAUAUCAACAUAAAAAGAGCUCAUAGUCAAGGAGUGUGCAAAAGUUCAUAUGGUGAACUCUUUUUCUUAAUCUAUUAGUUUAUAUAUCUUUAACUUAAUCAAGGGCACAUAAGACUAAUACCUGUUUCUAGAGGUGAAAAACUGGGUACAGUUGGACAAUGGGUCAAAAAGACUAACUUUAGUGAAAGUUGAAACAGGGCUGGAUUGAAUUGUUUUGACUCGUUCAACUUGCCGCUUUUGCUAAUCUGUUUUGCUUGACAUGUUUUAGAAAGAAAAACCAUAACAAAAAAUGACCAACUAAAAACUAACCUAGUUGAAAUUUUAACUUGUGUGAACUUUUUAUUUGACUUGUUUGACUGACUUGACUCAUUAUUAGCUAAUAUUUUUCUAAGUGAACAGGUUGAAACUUUCAACCUGUAUAACUGAUUCGACCCAUUUGACACUUACCGUGAUUGACAGGU